rnacentral:SRP_RNA from 1 species
GGCCGGGCCCGGUGCAAGGUCGCCCCGUGAAUCUGGUCAGGGCUUGACGGCAGCAGCCAUAAACGGAUGGCGGUCGGUGCUGCCGGUGUCCUGGUCGCC